UGAUAUGGACUACCAGUGCAUUUGUGAUACGGUUUCUAAGAGUCGAGUUGUUUGGGAAUGCAGCUCAAAGUGGGUGGUAAAUUCCAUCUAAGGCUAAAUAUAAGUGAGAGACCGAUAGCAUACAAGUACCGUGAGGGAAAGAUGAAAAGAACUUUGAAAAUAGAGUUAACAGUACGUGAAAUUGCUGAAAGGGAAACGUUUGAAGUUAGUAUUGUAUUCGUUGGAUCAGCUUCGCAAGAGGUCUAUUCCGAUGAUAAGCAAGUCAACAUCAGUCUAUGAGUGUUGGAAAAAGGGCUCGAGAAUGUAGCAAUUUAAUUGUGUUAUAGCUUGGGACCUCGAAUACAACGCUCUUGAUUGAGGAACGCGUAGUAAGCUUUGAGCGGGUUCGAAAGAGCCUCCUUACUAUGGAUGUUGGUGAAAUAACUUUAAGCGACCCGUCUUGAAACACGGACCAAGGAGUCUAACAUGCUUGCGAGUAUUAGGGCGUUGAAACCCGAAUGCGUAAUGAAAGUGAUUUCAGAUGUGAUCCGCAAGGUGCAACAUCGGCCGGUCCUGAUUAUUUAUAUGACGGUACUGAGCAAGAGCAAGUAUGUUAGGACCCGAAAGAUGGUGAACUAUGCCUGGAUAGGGUGAAGUCAGAGGAAACUCUGAUGGAAGCUCGUAGCGGUUCUGACGUGCAAAUCGAUCGUAGAAUCUGGGUAUAGGGGCGAAAG
rnacentral:rRNA from 1 species